UUUUUGUUUUGUUUAUCUAUUUUAAACAAUCUAAAUAUUGAUUUCAAACUCUCUUUUUUGUCAUCUAUUACCUUCUCUAACUCGAUCAUAAUGACAUUUUAAAGGUUGGACUCGAAUCACGGUUCACUCAUGGCAACAUCGACGGUUUCAGAUCGCAGUUCACUCGUGGCAACAUCGACGGUUUCCUCGUGUCUUCUUCCAUCAGAACGUUCUAGCUCCUUUGGUUAAUUUAAUCUUUUGUGGUUUUCUCCAGUACAGUCGUUUGCUGCAUAGCUUUUAGUUUUAUGUUUUUCUUUGUUUUCUUUCCGUGUUUGUAAAGAAUCUAAAAUCUAGUAUAAAUUUUUACAUUUUACCAAAACAAAAUAAAAGUUAAGAGUCUAAUUCAUUUUGAGAUCGAGAGAUUUAUUCAAUUAAUGUCAGUUUGGGUGAACUCUUUUGUUUUGUUUAUCUAUUUUAAACAGUCCAAACAUUGAUUUCAAACUCUCUUUUUGUAAUCUUUUACCUUUUCUAACUCGAUCCUAAUGAUAUGUUAAAGGCUAGGUUCGGAUCGCAGUUCACUUGUGGCAACAUCGACGGUUUUCUUGUGUCUUCUUCCGUCAGAACGUUCUAGCUCCUUUGGUUAAUUUCAUCUUUUGCGGCCUUCUCCAAUAUUGUUGUUUGCUGCUUAGUUUUUAGUUUUAUGUUUAUCUUUGUUUAAUUUCGUUUUUGCAAAAAAUCUAAAAUCUAGUAUAAAUUUUUACAUUUUACCAUAACCAAAAAAAUUCUAAGAGUGUAAUUCAAUUUUAAGAUCGAGAUAUCCAUUCAUUCAAUAUCAGUUUAGGUGAAAUAUUUUGUUUUGUUUCUCUAUUUUAAAAGUCCAAAAAAAUAUUUUAAACUCUCUUUUUGUCAUCUUUUACCUUCUCUAACUCGAUCCUAAUGAUAUUUAAAGGCUAGGUUCAGAUCGCGGUUCACUUGUGGUAACAUAACCGGUUUUCUCGUGUCUUCUUCUGUUAGAGCUUUCUAGCUCCUUUCAUUAAUUUCAUCUUUUAUGGUCUUCCACAGUACUAUUAUUUGCUUUUGGUUUUAUCUUUUUAUUUUUUCAUUUUUCCAUUUUUGUAUAAAAUCUUAAAGCUAGUAUAAAUUUUUAGAUUUUACCAAAACAAAAAAGUUAAAAGUGUAAUUCAAUUUUAAGAUCGAGAGAUCAUUUCAAUAAAUGUCAGUUUGGGUGAACUUUUCUUUCUUGUUUAUCUAUUUUAAACAGUACAAACAUUGAUGUCAAACUCUCUUUUUAUCAUCUUUUACCUUCUCUAACUCGAUCCUAAUGAUAUGUUAAAGGCUGGGUUUGGAUCGCGGUUCACUCGUGGCAAUAUCGACGGUUUUCUCGUGUCGUCUUCAAUCGCUAGGUUCGGAUCGCGGUUCACUCGUGGUAACAUCAACAGCUUUCUCGUGUCUUCUUCCAUCAGAGCUUUCUAGCUCCUUUCGUUCAUCUUUUAUGGUCUUGCACAGUACUGUUGUUUGCUGCAUAGUUUUUGGUUUUAUGUUUCUCUUUGUUUUAUUUCCGUUUUUGUAUAAAAUCUAAAAUCUAGUAUAAAUUUUUACAUUUUACCAAAACAAAAAAGUUAAGAGUGUAAUUCAAUUUUAAGAUCGAGAGAUCCAUUCAAUUAAUGUCAGUUUGGGUGAACUUUUCUUU